rnacentral:lncRNA from 1 species
CUCUUUGGACUUUAACUGACAAUGUGAAUGAUUUGGGGAUGUGGGGAAGAGGAUUCCUGAUAUGUCUGUAUAAAGCAGAGCAUAGGAACAGGGGACUAUAGCGAGAGCUAAAAGAGCUUUAAGAGACCACAUAGUCCAAACAGUCUAUUUUACAAAUGAGGGAAUUAAGUUCCAGGGAUACAUGACUUAUUCAAGGUCACAGAUGUGGGAUUUGAACUCAAGACUUCAGACUCUGAUGCCAAAUGCUCUCUAUACCAUUCUAGUGUCUUCAAACAAGAAAGAAAUGAUGUUAGUCCUGAAUGCACAGAAGAAAUUAGGGGAUGAGAUGAAUGGUCCUAAACUAUGUAAAAACCAAAGGCAGAUCCUUGAUGGCAGACCCCAGACAAAGCUACAACCUUGAGAUGAGGCGGCUGCCAAAGUCAGUGCCAGAUCAGAAUCUAAACUCAUCUAUAGAAUCUUAUGAAGAAGGAUGAUGGAUGAUUAUAAGCGACUGCACCUCAUAAAAUAAAAAGAUAAAGAAGUGGAUAGAGGUAAUUUAA